UUUUAGGCCAGGACCAACAGACUUCAGCACGUGUCCCGACAUAUCCAGGAUAUCAACACAGGGAGGGGACUCGGAACUUGCUGCUAGUGUUGAUGGUGUCA